GAACGCACAUUGCGCCCGCUAGUAUUCUGGCGGGCAUGCCUGUUCGAGCGUCAUUUCAACCAUCAAGCCCCAGGCUUGCGUUGGAGCCCUGCGGCUGCCGCAGGCUCUCAAAUCCAGUGGCGGGCUCGUCGUCGUACCGAGUGCAGUAAACAUCCUCGCUCAGGGAACGCGUCGGGUUCUUGCCGUGAAACCCCCCCCACAUCAAGGUUGACCUCGGAUCAGGUAGGAAUACCCGCUGAACUUAAG
rnacentral:misc_RNA from 1 species